rnacentral:lncRNA from 1 species
CGGCUAAAUCAUGUUUAAUCAAGUAGAUCCGAAGUGGAUCUGCCACAUCCUCCACUACGAACGGCGUCCAGCGCCCGGAGCGGAGGAGUGCGGCGAUGGCUGGGCUGACUAGCGGAUGGCGGGGCAAUGGCCAGACCCAUCCUCCAGCUCCAGGCUGUGCCGGCAGAGAGGGAGGGGCCAGAGGGGUUUACCUGAAAAUGAUCCAUACGACGACGGAGAUGGUGAGGAAAACCGAGAAGAACUUGACCAGCGAGGACGCUAUGGCCGCCCCCACACCCGUGCGUGUGACGACCGGCCCCAAAUCUUACCAGUUAAUCUUAAUCCGAGCCCCCUGAUCACCUGGCAAGUUUUUCCGUGCCUAAGUAUUCAAUCUUCCGAUCGGUCCCGACCCCUGAGACCCGACCCCUCCCCGCUUCGCCCCGGUUCCGACCCCGCCAAAACUAGCCAACCGUCGGAUCCUUCUAAGUCUUAUCAAACAUCCGUUCUGUCUGACCAGUGGACCCGCGAGAUCUUUUUCCCCCCCAGAUCUUCCGCGGCAGGCGCACUCGAGUUGCAUGCCCGCUUUAGAGUCUCCCCGCCGCGUGGCUCAUCUUCUCCGACGCCCGCCGCUCAGCCUCAUCUCUGACCCGCGACCGAAUGGAUUCUCGCGCCCCCUUCCCCAAUGGCAGCGGAAGCCCCUCUGCGACCUUUCUGCCGCGCCUCGCCUCCCGCGCCCAUCAUCACCCCGCAAGAUCCCGGCUGCAGAGCCCGAUGUCGCCCAUCUUUUCCGUCACUUCGAACACAGUCGCGCCGCCUGGUCUUCGCUACCCGACGAUUCCUCCUUCGCCAACCCCGACCACGGCAGCGACAGCUCCUUUCCCCGCCUUGUUAGAAGCCGCCCGACAAUCUGUUGCUCCGCGCUCGCCCGCGCGCCCACGGCUACCUGUCUUCUCACCUGUGUGCCCUCGAUUCUAGCGCCGUUAACCCGGUCGCGUCCAUCAAAUCUACCGCACGGUGACGCCCGCCUCCGCCAAAUCUCAACCACUGGCAUGAUCGCUCCUGCGCUGCCCUGACGAAAGAACCCAAUGCCCGCUGGCGUCAUCCCCGAAGUCCUGCACCACCGCCCUCGUCGCUCAAUCGCCGCCCCGGCAGAGCACUCCAUUGCUUCUCCCCGGCCUUCGCGCCGCUCCCCUUCUCGCUCCUACGCCGCUUCCCUACCCCAUCCCAGCCGCUAUAAAAGGGAAUGCGCGAGCCCGCUGGAGUUCCCUCCACCAUUGCUGCCUUCCGCCAUUUCUCUUGCUCCCUGCUCAAGCUCCUAGCACCACACCUAAGUUCCUGAGGAACUCUCCUCCUAGCUCCCCUCCGUUUUCUCAAGCCACCCAGCCGCUUGCUCCUCCGUGUUGCGUAAAAGCUCACUUGUGAUCCACAAGAAGCACCGCCGCCGCCGGAGUACUGCCGGACUUAGCCAUUGUUCAAAGCCUUAGUCCCUCCGCCCACGUCUGCUUUCUCCCGACCCCAAGCUUUCCUCGUAGGAAGAAGAAGGUAAGCUGCCGACCCCAGUCCGCUUUGCCCGACCCCUCUUAUCCCUCCAACCCCGGUUCCGUCUCGCCCGACCCUAUCUGUUUCGCCGACACCUCUCCACCUCGCCCGAGGGCUCGGCUGUGAUCUUUUUCUUCAACCCGAGGGUGUAUGUGUAAAACUUAGGAACCCUUCAGCGCUUGCAUCUGAGGAUCCCUAGUAUACCACAUCCUCUAGUUCAAGGAUCAGAUCAUAAGUUCCUUUCCAACUCUUACCUCUUGAUCUCCACCAGCUCCCUUGAACCUUCACACCCUCCUGCUCUUUGUCGCGAGUUUCUGGGCUCAGGCGAGCAAUUGUUGCUGUUGAACUAACCGUCUAUGCUAACUCGUGCAUUGCAUUCGUGUAGAGUUGCGCCUUGCCAACGGCUUCUACGAGCUACACCCGGCGCCAGAAGACGAAGCUGUAGCUGAGCACCUGCCCCCAGAAGCCGAAGCCGCCCCCGAAGUCGAGCAGUUCUCUUCCUCUUUGCUCGAAGGCAAGCCCCGGUUGCAUGAAAACCCUGUGUUGUGUUUCCAAACUUGCGCAUGCCUUCCUUAAAACAUGCUUGUGCUUAGGAGUUGUUUGAAGCCCUAGAUGCAUGACCUAGCUUCCUAUGAUCUGAACACUAGCUGUUGGACCGAGUAGUUGCCUUGCUUAACUAGGAGACGGUAAAAGCCGAGUGAUUCCCUGUCACUCGCGAGUUGUAGGAGUUGGAUGUCUACAUUUCUGCUACAACUAUAAGGAAGAUGGACGGGGCAGGGUUUUGGGUAACUCUUUGGUGGUCGGAUGAUUGCCCCGUCUAUCUAUGAAAACUUGCUAGGGCCCGACAGUGGUGGUGUUCGUGAUCAAGUGUUUGAAAGUACUAACCUCAUACUUAGUAUGGGAUGAGGAAGCCUAGUACCGGAUUGAACCUAGACGUGAUCGGUCGCCCCAUUGUUCUUAGAACGGAGUUCCCCUGCUGGUUGUCGCACGUGGUGGCAAGCGUGGUCGCAGAGCGGCAGAGGCCGGGUCUAUGGAAACUUGCACCAAAGGAAAUGGGCCCGACACGGGUUAGGGGAUUGAUGGGGAAGGCCGACACAGGAAGCGACCUCCAGGUGCGCGGAUGUCGUGAGGUUAGGUUCACCAUACAUGGUUAAAGAACCCGAAUCGAUUCGUCUGCCUCUCACAGUUUGAGAUUACUUGAUUGCUAUGUCACCCUGAGUAAAUGAGAAAUCUGAUGAUGACAUGGUUUUGUUGAUAUAUGCAUACCUUGUUUGAGUUCUAUGAUUGCUUAGAAUAGGUUGCAAAACCUAGACCGGUUAAUGAACCUAGAACCGGAGCUAAAACUUGAAAAUAGGGUUUUUACUUAGCGCUUUUGGCAAACAAACCCUCAGCCAAAAGACCCUGCAUGUCUAGAAGUGUGGAGUAGUUUCUCCCGUCGGUUAAGUCUUAUUGAGCUUAGUAGCUCAGCCUUGUUGUGGCUCCUGUUUUUCAGGUGAAGUUGCUGCUCCCGACCCUUCUCCUGCUGGCACUUGGCCGCCCCAGCUCCCUCCGGGUUGGACGGUCGAGUGGGAUCCCUCCUCGGACGGCGAGGAAAGGGAUCAGUGAUGUCCCGGUUGGCCUCACCAGGACGUCCGACCCCCGACGAUUGCUUCCGCUAGUGUUUUACCUUCUGUUAUUUUCUGGAUUUUGUAAAACUCUGAUGUUCUCUCGCAACUAAACUAAGUGGUUAAUUUGUUAACUCGGUGGACUUGUUGUACUCUCUGGAACCGCUCACCUUCGUGUGAGUCUGCUAAAAUGGUCCUGUUCAGGUGGUUAAAUCGGAGGAAAAAUCCGACGGCACUUCGUGUUUACUCGUCUUAGGCAUGAGCGUCGCAUAUCAGGCGGCUAAAUCAUGUUUAAUUAGUAGAUCCAAAGUGGAUCCACCGCAGUGCGUCUGCUGAAUCCACGUCACGCUGCCCUGAUCCGGUCUAGCGUGGUCUCUGAGGCCUCCCUCGACCCCUAGCCUCGCGGGUGCUCGGCCCGCGGUGUGUGAGGGCGGCGGCGGGUGAUCUCGCUUGGUGGGGAGACGGAGGUGUGCGAGAUGGAAACGGGGGGUUAGCAAGGGGAGGAGGGGAAGGGCCGGUGCCCGGAGGAUGGGGGGACCAGGGGAGGCGGCGCAGGAUGGCGAGGAUGGGGAGGAGGCGCCAGGACGGCGGUGAGCUGGGUGCAUCGUGCAGCUUUGGGGAGGGAGCGGAGGGUUGCGGAGGAGGGAGCGGAUGGCCGAGGAUGACAUGGAGGGCAGAGGAAGGAUCGCACGG